AUAGUGGAAUUGAAUGUCACCUUUAUAAAAUGUUUAAAGCUACAAGUAGUGUGUGUGUGUGUUCAGUGGCAUAUUGCAAACUCAAACCUUGGACCUUCUGAUAAGCAAACCUACACAUUAACUACAAGGAAGAGCCUGGUCUCUUUACCUCUGAUUUACUUGUAGUUCAAAGUAGCAAUGUAUCUUGGUGAGACCAUUCUUUUCAUUAACUUACAGACAUAUGAUGUUUUCUUCAAACAAAAUGAAUUACAUCACUAUGUAACUGUAGUGUACUGAUUUGAUCAUCAGGAUCUCCUAGAGAAGUGUGUAUUUACUGCCUCUCCCUUGCAACCUGGCACCCAGGAUUCAUCAGGCCCUGUUUCCAGUUAAUGUUAUUUUGUGUCAUUAUGCAAUAACUUUAUUGCACAUUAUUUUGCCAAAGGACACAAGGUGGCUUUGUUCUACUAUUCUCUGUAGUGACAUAACCUUUAAUACAAAUACCGUAUCUAAAAGAAGAUGUUUCUGUUUAACUCUUUUACUGCCAGUCCCCAAAGCACUGCGAUGGGACUUUGCAAUUUUGUGCUAUCAUGAAGAAAGAAUAUUCCCCUUCAAAGUUUAUCAGUCUCAAGUUUUAGAAAUUUCCACAACAAAGAAAACAGUGACAUGAAGAAAAAUCUCAACACGGAGACUGAAGCACCACACCGUCCAACAGUUAGAGCAUGAGCAGUUCAUGAAAAACUUUCAAUCGUACAGCAUGUAUCACACACACCCCAAGCCUGUACAAUCUUUAGGCCAACUAGAACCUGUAUCCAAACUGAAUAAAUACGAAUAAUUUAGGUGAUUUAAAAAGUUUCUGUACAUUAUUCAGGUAUUGCAUAUAUGUCCAAUAUAUGCUUUUAAAUGUUUAGCUUAGACUAUAACGA